GCCGCGACCCGUUGCUGGGGACGUCGAAGGCCCGGGCGGAUUGGUACCCCGACGUCGUGCGUUCGCGCCGACGAAGGGGGAAACCUCCGGUGUCCUGGCUGCCCUGCGACGGUCGUGCAGCAGAGGAGCGAUGCAUCUCUCUCUCGCGGCGUGCAAAAGGUCGGUGACCCACCCGACCCGUCUUGAAACACGGACCAAGGAGUCUAACAUGUGUGCGAGUCAUUGGGCGCACUAAACCCAGAGGCGAAAUGAAAGUGAAAGGAGAGCUCGCUCUCCGGGGCCGAUCCCCGACCGGCUGUUGCCGCCACAGUUUCCCAUUCCAAAGCGAGGUUAACCCAAAGGGGGUUGGGCGGAGUGAGUCCCUUUCCUCCGUCUGCCUCUGGCCUCGUGGGUUCUGGGCGCGCACGACGGUCCGGCUCCUUCGCGGGAGUCGCUCGUACGCGGGAGGGCGCAGGCCCGGGACUUGCCAUUCGACGCCGCGCGCAAAUCUGUUGUUGGCCUCGCCGGCUUUGCUUGGGCUCUCGGUUGGCGCGCCGCGUGUCAGGCGGGCCUUGGCUGGGGGUCUCGUGCUCCCAUCCGGGUUCGUCCCGCGCGGUUUUGCCUUCCG
rnacentral:rRNA from 1 species